rnacentral:lncRNA from 1 species
UUUAGGAUCUUAUUUUACAUUUUUAUUUUGUUUAUUUAUUGACCACAGUGCACUACUCAAUUUGACAGUACAACUAAAUGCCUAAAUUCAGGAAUCCCUUGGAAUAUUCCCUUUCUGCAUAGUGUGUCACUUACUAGGUGCAUAUUUUUCUUCAUUUGUUUAUUUUUAUUUUGACAUUUAGGUUUUGCCUUUGUAUUUGAUUAUACUUUCAAAAUUAACAUAUUUACACUGUUUCACAGUCACAUUUUUAUUGUCAGUUAUUUUCAAAAAAGUCUAGCUUUUUGCCCUGUCUCCUCUAGCUAUUUCCCCUUCUCCCCUAAAUAGAUAGCCGUCUAAAUUUAUUUUAUUGUUUAUUCUAUUUAAAAAAAACUAUAAACAGAUAUUAUCUUCGCAUAUUUGACCUUAACUAGAUAGUGACAUACAGUUCUCUCCAACUUGCCCCUUUCACUUAGCAAUGUUAAGUCCAGUAGCAAUUAAUCCAAUAUUGACCAUCCUGUGGUCUUGAAACAUGGCUCUUCAUGGGGGUGGAGUCAGGAAUGUAGAAUAUAAAACUAUAAUAUAUUCUCAUACCACAUUAUGAUGAGGAAACCAAUCACCAACAGGAUCACAUCAACAUUUCCCAGGAGCUCUUUGAUGUCACUGAGUAACCUACCUGCAGGAUGUGACUCUGGUGGUUG